GCCUUGUUAGCGCAGUAGGUAUCGUGUCAGUCUCAUAAUCUGAAGGUUGUGAGUUAAAUCCUACACACAGCGCA